rnacentral:rRNA from 1 species
GGAGUUAGCCGGUGCUUCUUCUGUGAGUGAUGUCCUUCCUGCCGGCUAUUAACCCGCAGGCCUUCUUCCUCACUGAAAGUGCUUUACAACCCGAAGGCCUUCUUCACACACGCGGCAUGGCUGGAUCAGGGUUGCCCCCAUUGUCCAAUAUUCCCCACUGCUGCCUCCCGUAGGAGUCUGGGCCGUGUCUCAGUCCCAGUGUGGCUGAUCAUCCUCUCAGACCAGCUACGGAUCGUCGCCUUGGUGAGCCGUUACCUCACCAACCAGCUAAUCCGACAUAGGCUCAUCCGAUAGCGCGAGGCCCGAAGGUCCCCCGCUUUCCCCCGUAGGGCGUAUGCGGUAUUAGCCUGGGUUUCCCCAGGUUAUCCCCCACUACCGGGCAGAUUCCUAUGCAUUACUCACCCGUCCGCCGCUCGCCACCAGGGAGCAAGCUCCCCGUGCUGCCGCUCGACUUGCNUGUGUACGUCGUCGCCGCCGACGCGUACUACUCUCGACGACCGACGAACUACUAACCUACGUACGUACGUACGACGGCGGGCGUCGGACGACGGACGGCGACGUAG